AGAGUUUGAUCCUGGCUCAGGAUGAACGCUAGCUACAGGCUUAACACAUGCAAGUCGAGGGGAAACGAUAGAGAAAGCUUGCUUUUUCUAGGCGUCGACCGGCGCACGGGUGAGUAACGCGUAUCCAACCUGCCCAUCACUUGGGGAUAACCUUGCGAAAGUAAGACUAAUACCCAAUGAGGUCUCUAGAAGACAUCUGAAAGAGAUUAAAGAUUUAUCGGUGAUGGAUGGGGAUGCGUCUGAUUAGCUUGUUGGCGGGGUAACGGCCCACCAAGGCGACGAUCAGUAGGGGUUCUGAGAGGAAGGUCCCCCACAUUGGAACUGAGACACGGUCCAAACUCCUACGGGAGGCAGCAGUGAGGAAUAUUGGUCAAUGGGCGAGAGCCUGAACCAGCCAAGUAGCGUGCAGGAUGACGGCCCUAUGGGUUGUAAACUGCUUUUAUAAGGGAAUAAAGUGGGAGUCGUGACUCCUUUUGCAUGUACCUUAUGAAUAAGGACCGGCUAAUUCCGUGCCAGCAGCCGCGGUAAUACGGAAGGUCCGGGCGUUAUCCGGAUUUAUUGGGUUUAAAGGGAGCGUAGGCCGGAGAUUAAGCGUGUUGUGAAAUGUAGACGCUCAACGUCUGCACUGCAGCGCGAACUGGUUUCCUUGAGUACGCACAAAGUGGGCGGAAUUCGUGGUGUAGCGGUGAAAUGCUUAGAUAUCACGAAGAACUCCGAUUGCGAAGGCAGCUCACUGGAGCGCAACUGACGCUGAAGCUCGAAAGUGCGGGUAUCGAACAGGAUUAGAUACCCUGGUAGUCCGCACGGUAAACGAUGGACGCCCGCUGUUGGUCUGAAUAGGUCAGCGGCCAAGCGAAAGCAUUAAGCAUCCCACCUGGGGAGUACGCCGGCAACGGUGAAACUCAAAGGAAUUGACG
rnacentral:rRNA from 1 species